rnacentral:lncRNA from 1 species
UAGAUCAUUUAUGUUUUCAUUGUAGGAUCUGCCCAAGAAUCAAAGAACACUUUCAGUUUUGACACUUUAUUAGAUCGGAAGUGCCAUCAGAUAUAGAAAAAUAUUUUUCCUUUUAUUGAAGUGUUUUUAUGAAUGCAGGGGAGGGGGGAAAACAAAAGAAAAAUACCCUGAGUUAGUAAGAAAGAAUAUAAAAUCGGUAUGCAUGUCCUAUAGGGGAACCCUUUUAUGCCAAGGGUAGGCCUAGCAUGAAAUGCAAUCCUCCAGAGCAGGCACUAUACAAU